rnacentral:rRNA from 1 species
UACGUAGGAUGCAAGCGUUGUCCGGAUUUAUUGGGCGUAAAGCGAACGUAGGCGGUUACUUAAGUUCGGUCUUAAAGACCGGGGCUCAACCCCGGGAGUGGAUUGAAUACUGGGUAGCUAGAGGAUGUCAGAGGAAAGUGGAAUUCCAAGUGUAGCGGUGAAAUGCGUAGAUAUUUGGAGGAACACCAGUGGCGAAAGCGGCUUUCUGGGGCAUUCCUGACGCUGAGGUUCGAAAGCUCGGGGAGCAAACAGG